rnacentral:misc_RNA from 1 species
GAUGAAGAACGUAGUGAAAUGCGAUACUUGGUGUGAAUUGCAGAAUCCCGUGAACCAUCGAGUCUUUGAACGCAAGUUGCGCCCGAAGCCACUAGGCCGAGGGCACGCCUGCCUGGGCGUCACACGCCGUUGCCCCCCCAUCUACUCUUUCGGGAUUGCGGGGGGGCGGAUGAUGGCCUCCCGUGCGCCUAGCCGCGCGGUUGGCAUAAAUACCAAGUCCUCGGCGACGCACGCCACGACAAUCGGUGGUUGCGAAACCUCGGUUGCCCGUCGUGUGCGUUCGUCGCGCAUCGAGGGCUCGAAAAAAUGCUCGGCUCCGGCUGGGCUUUCAACGCGACCCCAGGUCAGGCGGGGUUACCCGCUGAAUUUAAGCAUAUCAAUAAGCGGAGGA